rnacentral:rRNA from 1 species
AUGUACGUGGAUGAAUCCGACGGCAACGAGGACGACCUCGUAGGAUCCAGCCACGUUUGUGCGGAAUUUCGCGGGGAUGAAUCUACCCGGCCUCUCGUCCUAUCCGCCGCCGGUAGAGGCAUCCAUGUCCUUGGGGUUGGGUGCGGCAACUCGCGACUCGAAGACAUUUCGUGCAUGUGCUCCCCUGCGCUUGGUGACCAAUACAUCUACUCCGUCGUGAACAUGUGCUUCGUGUCAUACAGGUCGCCGCCAAGGGUUAUGUGCAUUAUUGAUCAGCCAAUCUUGAGAGAGAGAUGGGUUGGCGUGAAUGGGAAGAAAACUACAUUGAAUGGACAAGAAGUAUGCCCUCAACUUUUUCAUGUUUUUUCUUUGCUUUUUCAUGGCAUCGGGAUGCCCACUGCCGACGGUGCUGCGUUGCUACCAAAGGGGCACCCUGCCGCGGCCGGGGACUCACUGCCGUCGAAGCACGACACCUUGCCGUCACGUAUGUUGGGUGUUGUGGUGCUGCAGAUUUGGUAUUGUUGUUCUGUUCACUUAACCCAGUCUGUAGCAUCAGCUUUUCAUGUCGUUUCCUCGCCAACAAAUGUCAUAAUUUAUCACUCUAUGAAGAAUUGCAAGGAGGAGGAUAAUAGAGCAGCAACCAGAGCUGACAAUUGGCCUGUAAAUGCAGCAAAGUUCUCCUAG